rnacentral:rRNA from 1 species
GAUGAACGCUAGCUACAGGCUUAACACAUGCAAGUCGAGGGACCGGCGCACGGGUGAGUAACACGUAUCCAACCUGCCCUUUACUCGGGGAUAGCCUUUCGAAAGAAAGAUUAAUACCCGAUGUAAAGGAUGGGGAUGCGUUCCAUUAGGUUGUUGGGGAGGUAACGGCUCACCAAGCCUUCGAUGGAUAGGGGUUCUGAGAGGAAGGUCACCCACAAUGGAACUGAGACACGGUCCAAACGCCGACGGGAGGAAGCAGUGAGGAAUAUUGGUCAAUGAGCGUUAGCCGGAACCAGCCAAGUAGCGUGAAGGAUGAAGGCUUAUGGGUCGUAAACUUCUUUUAUAUAAGAAUAUGUAUUAUAUGAAUAAGGAUCGGCUAACUCCGUGCCAGCCGCCGCGGUAAUAC